rnacentral:tRNA from 1 species
UCCCUGCUGGCUCAGCUGGUAAAGAGUCUGUCUGCAGUGCGGGAAACGCAGGUUCAAUCCCUGGGUAGGGAA